rnacentral:rRNA from 1 species
GACGAACGCUGGCGGCGUGCUUAGCACAUGCAAGUCGAACGAAGAGCGAUGGAAGCUUGCUUCUAUCAAUCUUAGUGGCGAACGGGUGAGUAACGCGUAAUCAACCUGCCCUUCAGAGGGGGACAACAGUUGGAAACGACUGCUAAUACCGCAUACGAUCUAAUCUCGGCAUCGAGGAAAGAUGAAAGGUGGCCUCUAUUUAUAAGCUAUCACUGAAGGAGGGGAUUGCGUCUGAUUAGCUAGUUGGAGGGGUAACGGCCCACCAAGGCGAUGAUCAGUAGCCGGUCUGAGAGGAUGAACGGCCACAUUGGGACUGAGACACGGCCCAGACUCCUACGGGAGGCAGCAGUGGGGAAUCUUCCGCAAUGGACGAAAGUCUGACGGAGCAACGCCGCGUGAGUGAUGACGGCCUUCGGGUUGUAAAGCUCUGUUAAUCGGGACGAAAGGCCUUCUUGCGAACAGUUAGAAGGA